AGUACUUCAGGACUUUUCAUCCAUGCUCUGCAUCCAUCACUCACUUUAAUCUUAUAUCUGAACAUCUCCGAAAGAGGGAUUGUUGGCAUCUCCAGCUCAUCUUCCUCAAUCUUCACCCCAGUGCCCUGGCACUCUGGGCAGAAAACAGAAUCAAUUUGGCUUUUUAAUGCUUUCACCUUUCCGUCCUUGCCCACUUUGUUGGAUUUAGCUCCAUUCUUUCUUUUAGAUCUUCUUCUUGCUUUUGGACCAACUGAUUGAUUUCGAGCUGUUUCAUACUCACAGAGAAGCAUCCAAUGUAUGAUACAGGAAGUAUGAAAAACAUGAAAUGCCCCAUUCACAUUUCUGCUACUGCAAGCAAGUUUUCCUGCCUUCAUGUUUAUAAGUGUUGCUACAUCUUUCUCUGGAAGCAUCUUUUGCUGACAGAUGUCACACAUUCUUUCCGCUGCUAUGCGAUGUUGCCGUCUCAACUCUCGCCUUAUGGCCUUGUUUGAUAUAUACCUUGAAUGAAGAAGCUGGUCAUCAUAUUGAUCCAACAGCAAUCUAGAAGAGCCACCAUUUGAAGCCGAAGAUUCUUCACCAGAUGAAUAAUAGUGAUUACUCAAAGACUCACUGAUAUCCUCAGGGUCAGAAAAAGAUUUUUUCCUUUUCCUAUUAGCCCCCUCCUCAUUCUCAGACUCUAUUGUAGGACUGGAUGAGAGUAACAACUUUACAUCAUCAAGCAACCCCUUUCUUCCCAAAUCAUAAUUAUAAGCAAAAGUCAGGACAGCAAACUCAUGAUCCAAAACCUUGACCUUGUCCUCAUCAACAGGAUUAUUUUCCCCUAACCACUCACACCAUAUCCUACUAAUCUCACAUAUAUUGCCAUCCUUCUCACAGAACCUUGCAGCAAUUUGUCCAGAACCCACAAACCUGGCUUUCAAGUCAGAAAUUUCAUCCUUAACAAGUACACCUGGAAUCACUAGAUGAAAAGUUACUCCAUUUCCAUUCAAAUCCUUAUUGUAUCCAACAUGCCCAUUGCCAGUGGAUCUCAAAUUUGCAUCAUACUUCACAAUAGCUAGAUUGUCACUAUUGCUGUUAGACUCCA
rnacentral:misc_RNA from 1 species